rnacentral:rRNA from 1 species
AUACGGAGGGUGCAAGCGUUACUCGGAAUCACUGGGCGUAAAGGAUGCGUAGGCUGGAUGUCAAGUCGGAAGUGAAAUCCUAUGGCUUAACCAUAGAACUGCUUCCAAAACUGGCAACCUAGAGUGAGGGAGAGGCAGAUGGAAUUGGUGGUGUAGGGGUAAAAUCCGUAGAUAUCACUAGGAAUACCGAUUGCGAAGGCGAUCUGCUAGAACUCUACUGACGCUAAGGCAUGAAAGCGUGGGGAGCAAACAGGAUUAGAAACCCUUGUAGUCC